AGUGAACGCUGGCGGUAGGCCUAACACAUGCAAGUCGAACGGCAGCACAGUAAGAGCUUGCUCUUACGGGUGGCGAGUGGCGGACGGGUGAGGAAUACAUCGGAAUCUACUUUUUCGCGGGGGAUAACGUAGGGAAACUUACGCUAAUACCGCAUACGACCUACGGGUGAAAGCAGGGGAUCUUCGGACCUUGCGCGAUUGAAUGAGCCGAUGUCGGAUUAGCUAGUUGGCGGGGUAAAGGCCCACCAAGGCGACGAUCCGUAGCUGGUCUGAGAGGAUGAUCAGCCACACUGGAACUGAGACACGGUCCAGACUCCUACGGGAGGCAGCAGUGGGGAAUAUUGGACAAUGGGCGCAAGCCUGAUCCAGCCAUACCGCGUGGGUGAAGGAGGCCUUCGGGUUGUAAAGCCCUUUUGUUGGGAAAGAAAAGCAGCAGGUUAAUACCCCGCUGUUCUGACGGUACCCAAAGAAUAAGCACCGGCUAACUUCGUG
rnacentral:rRNA from 1 species